rnacentral:rRNA from 1 species
GGGUUGUGAGGUUAAGCGACUAAGCGUACACGGUGGAUGCCCUGGCAGUCAGAGGCGAUGAAGGACGUGCUAAUCUGCGAUAAGCGUCGGUAAGGUGAUAUGAACCGUUAUAACCGGCGAUUUCCGAAUGGGGAAACCCAGUGUGAUUCGUCACACUAUCAUUAACUGAAUCCAUAGGUUAAUGAGGCGAACCGGGGGAACUGAAACAUCUAAGUACCCCGAGGAAAAGAAAUCAACCGAGAUUCCCCCAGUAGCGGCGAGCGAACGGGGAGCAGCCCAGAGCCUGAAUCAGUGUGUGUGUUAGUGGAAGCGUCUGGAAAGGCGCGCGAUACAGGGUGACAGCCCCGUACACAAAAAUGCACAUACUGUGAGCUCGAUGAGUAGGGCGGGACACGUGGUAUCCUGUCUGAAUAUGGGGGGACCAUCCUCCAAGGCUAAAUACUCCUGACUGACCGAUAGUGAACCAGUACCGUGAGGGAAAGGCGAAAAGAACCCCGGCGAGGGGAGUGAAAAAGAACCUGAAACCGUGUACGUACAAGCAGUGGGAGCCUCUUUAUGGGGUGACUGCGUACCUUUUGUAUAAUGGGUCAGCGACUUAUAUUCUGUAGCAAGGUUAACCGAAUAGGGGAGCCGAAGGGAAACCGAGUCUUAACUGGGCGUUAAGUUGCAGGGUAUAGACCCGAAACCCGGUGAUCUAGCCAUGGGCAGGUUGAAGGUUGGGUAACACUAACUGGAGGACCGAACCGACUAAUGUUGAAAAAUUAGCGGAUGACUUGUGGCUGGGGGUGAAAGGCCAAUCAAACCGGGAGAUAGCUGGUUCUCCCCGAAAGCUAUUUAGGUAGCGCCUCGUGAAUUCAUCUCCGGGGGUAGAGCACUGUUUCGGCAAGGGGGUCAUCCCGACUUACCAACCCGAUGCAAACUGCGAAUACCGGAGAAUGUUAUCACGGGAGACACACGGCGGGUGCUAACGUCCGUCGUGAAGAGGGAAACAACCCAGACCGCCAGCUAAGGUCCCAAAGUCAUGGUUAAGUGGGAAACGAUGUGGGAAGGCCCAGACAGCCAGGAUGUUGGCUUAGAAGCAGCCAUCAUUUAAAGAAAGCGUAAUAGCUCACUGGUCGAGUCGGCCUGCGCGGAAGAUGUAACGGGGCUAAACCAUGCACCGAAGCUGCGGCAGCGACACUAUGUGUUGUUGGGUAGGGGAGCGUUCUGUAAGCCUGUGAAGGUGUACUGUGAGGUAUGCUGGAGGUAUCAGAAGUGCGAAUGCUGACAUAAGUAACGAUAAAGCGGGUGAAAAGCCCGCUCGCCGGAAGACCAAGGGUUCCUGUCCAACGUUAAUCGGGGCAGGGUGAGUCGACCCCUAAGGCGAGGCCGAAAGGCGUAGUCGAUGGGAAACAGGUUAAUAUUCCUGUACUUGGUGUUACUGCGAAGGGGGGACGGAGAAGGCUAUGUUGGCCGGGCGACGGUUGUCCCGGUUUAAGCGUGUAGGCUGGUUUUCCAGGCAAAUCCGGAAAAUCAAGGCUGAGGCGUGAUGACGAGGCACUACGGUGCUGAAGCAACAAAUGCCCUGCUUCCAGGAAAAGCCUCUAAGCAUCAGGUAACAUCAAAUCGUACCCCAAACCGACACAGGUGGUCAGGUAGAGAAUACCAAGGCGCUUGAGAGAACUCGGGUGAAGGAACUAGGCAAAAUGGUGCCGUAACUUCGGGAGAAGGCACGCUGAUAUGUAGGUGAAGUCCCUCGCGGAUGGAGCUGAAAUCAGUCGAAGAUACCAGCUGGCUGCAACUGUUUAUUAAAAACACAGCACUGUGCAAACACGAAAGUGGACGUAUACGGUGUGACGCCUGCCCGGUGCCGGAAGGUUAAUUGAUGGGGUUAGCGGUAACGCGAAGCUCUUGAUCGAAGCCCCGGUAAACGGCGGCCGUAACUAUAACGGUCCUAAGGUAGCGAAAUUCCUUGUCGGGUAAGUUCCGACCUGCACGAAUGGCGUAAUGAUGGCCAGGCUGUCUCCACCCGAGACUCAGUGAAAUUGAACUCGCUGUGAAGAUGCAGUGUACCCGCGGCAAGACGGAAAGACCCCGUGAACCUUUACUAUAGCUUGACACUGAACAUUGAGCCUUGAUGUGUAGGAUAGGUGGGAGGCUUUGAAGUGUGGACGCCAGUCUGCAUGGAGCCGACCUUGAAAUACCACCCUUUAAUGUUUGAUGUUCUAACGUUGACCCGUGAUCCGGGUUGCGGACAGUGUCUGGUGGGUAGUUUGACUGGGGCGGUCUCCUCCUAAAGAGUAACGGAGGAGCACGAAGGUUGGCUAAUCCUGGUCGGACAUCAGGAGGUUAGUGCAAUGGCAUAAGCCAGCUUGACUGCGAGCGUGACGGCGCGAGCAGGUGCGAAAGCAGGUCAUAGUGAUCCGGUGGUUCUGAAUGGAAGGGCCAUCGCUCAACGGAUAAAAGGUACUCCGGGGAUAACAGGCUGAUACCGCCCAAGAGUUCAUAUCGACGGCGGUGUUUGGCACCUCGAUGUCGGCUCAUCACAUCCUGGGGCUGAAGUAGGUCCCAAGGGUAUGGCUGUUCGCCAUUUAAAGUGGUACGCGAGCUGGGUUUAGAACGUCGUGAGACAGUUCGGUCCCUAUCUGCCGUGGGCGCUGGAGAACUGAGGGGGGCUGCUCCUAGUACGAGAGGACCGGAGUGGACGCAUCACUGGUGUUCGGGUUGUCAUGCCAAUGGCACUGCCCGGUAGCUAAAUGCGGAAGAGAUAAGUGCUGAAAGCAUCUAAGCACGAAACUUGCCCCGAGAUGAGUUCUCCCUGACUCCUUGAGAGUCCUGAAGGAACGUUGAAGACGACGACGUUGAUAGGCCGGGUGUGUAAGCGCAGCGAUGCGUUGAGCUAACCGGUACUAAUGAACCGUGAGGCUUAACCUUACAACGCCGAAG